rnacentral:rRNA from 1 species
GUGACUCUGUUCAACGGCCGCGGUAUCCUAACCGUGCGAAGGUAGCGUAAUCACUUGUUCUUUAAAUGAGGACUAGUAUGAACGGCACUACGAGGGUUACACUGUCUCCUUUUCCAAAUCAGUGAAACUAAUCUCCCCGUGAAGAAGCGGGAAUAAACCUAUAAGACGAGAAGACCCUAUGGAGCUUCAAACUUCCCAGCAAUUAUUUUUUACUAAUUCAAUCUCAAGAUAAUAAAAUGAACCCCCUAUAAUAUGACUGCAAGUUUUCGGUUGGGGUGACCACGGAGUAAAAUCUAUCCUCCACAAUGAAUUAUAAACCUUAGCUUUAAACAAAGAAACACAAUUCUAUGUAUCAAAAAAUUGACAUUAUUGACCCAAUAUUUUGACCAAUGAACCAAGUUACCCUAGGGAUAACAGCGCAAUCCAUCUCAAGAGCUCAUAUCGACAGAUGGGUUUACGACCUCGAUGUUGGAUCAGGGUAUCCAAGUGGUGUAGCCGCUACUAAAGGUUCGUUUGUUCAACGAUUAAAACCCUACGUGAUCU